GAAGACCCACAAUCUCUGUGGACCAAUUACAGUUAACAUCCUAUCAAACAAAAGAGUGACAUUCAGCCUUUGUGAAGUAUUAUCAUGGCUGAUGUUAUUGUUCUAUAUCUCUUUCAUAUUUUCAGAUAACCAAUAGCGUUGACUACAUUAUCUAGAGACAGCUGAUUUCCCUCCUAAAGUCGAGACAUGGAAAGAACAGAGAACAAAGUGAGUGGAGACUGAACCAAAUGCAGAGAGCAUCACAGAAUACAGAGGAAGCUGUCCUAAUAGAAAACACAGAUGUUCCAUUUGUGCAAGCAGAAGACUUUCUGGCCUUAACUCAUUUUUUAAUUUUCAUUCCCCCAAGGUGUCCACCAUCUCCCCGCAAAAACAGACAGUAAAAAAUCGAUCCAAGUCCACAGAGGAGGUACAGCAAGCCAAAAAGGCCUUUCAUACACCACAAAAAUCUCUACCGGCUAAACCAGAAACCGAACAACUAGAGGAAACCUCAGAACUGAGUGCCUCAUCAGAGGAGUUCAAAUGAUUGCUCGAUUCAAACUUCGGGGCUUUGAGAUUUAGACAGAUGAGCUGGAAUUAUGGGUAAUCACAAGAGGAUGAUUCAGUGUCUCUGUUUAUAAAAUUGUGAAGUUUUAAUUAGUUUAGUUAGCAUAGAAGAAAACAAUAAUCAUGUAGCUUCUUGAAUUUGUAUGAGUCUGAUAAUGUUUGUGAAAUAAAUGCACAACUGGAUAUCA
ensembl:lncRNA